AAAAAACGCAAUAUAUCGCCUUGCUUACAGUAUCGCAAUAUAUCGCAAUAUAUUGAAUCGUAAUCCCUGUAUCAUGAUGCGUAUCGUAUCACCAGAUUCUUGACAAUACACAGCCCUACCUACAAUCGUGGGCGAGGGUUUUUUCCACCUGGCUGCCAUUUGAGUGUCACCGCCUGAUGAGAAGGUUUUGUGGCUGAUUUUUUCCGGCCAGUCAUUUCACAGGUUGCAGUCAGUGUGACAAAGCACUCAGUGAGUCCCCUUUUCUCAACCACUCAUACCAUUUCUCCUUAUUGCCUCUCCUCUUCUCUCACCCUUUCAUAUUAGCUGUAAUGCCUCCUCCGGGGAUUUCACGUUAUUCUUUGCAGUCCUCUCAUCUAGGCUUCUCUCUCCCCCCAAGAAAAACCUCAUCACACAAUUGUAAGGGCAUUACAUCAGAAUGACCUACACCAUCAGCUACAGUGCUGUUGUUUGCAUUGCCAUCACCACUGUGCCUGUGUUGGCACUACGGCUGAAGCCAGUCUCUACAACAAAGAGAGGUACAAAGACUACGACCUGUCGUAGCUCUAUCCUCUCUUUUCUUAGCCUAUUUCUAUUGUUGUUUUAGUCGUUCCUCAUGUCUGAGCUUUAAUCACAAAUGUGCUGGCAGAUGCUUGCCUUGAGGGGAGCGAUUCAGAGGGAGGCAGGCCGCUUGACUAAUUUGCAGAUCUGUGUGCAGUAGUUUGUCUGAUACGCAGUGUUACGCAGGCAGACCGAGGCCUAAUAACUGGGUUUAUCUGACGACUGCUGAGGUGCUUCAGAACUCACACCCACACAGCCAGCCAGCCUCCUAAUAUUUUCACCGCAUGAAGACUUCAUGUUUGUUUGUUGUAAGCAACACCAGCAAAACCCUCAAAGCGUCGGAGAAAUCCUGAAGUGGAAAAAAAUAUAUUUUGAGUGCUUUCGUGUUGCCAUCUUCAGCUCUCUUAAGACUGGAAAAAAAGACGUCUUGGGGUGGGUUUUAAUAAGCAAACAAAAAUAAAUCAGAGUGAGUGCU